UACGGAGGGUGCAAGCGUUAUCCGGAUUCACUGGGUUUAAAGGGUGCGUAGGUGGGCAAGUAAGUCAGUGGUGAAAUCUCCGGGCUUAACCCGGAAACUGCCAUUGAUACUAUUUGUCUUGAAUACUGUGGAGGUCAGCGGAAUAUGUCAUGUAGCGGUGAAAUGCUUAGAUAUGACAUAGAACACCAAUUGCGAAGGCAGCUGGCUACACAGCGAUUGACGCUGAGGCACGAAAGCGUGGGGAUCAAACAGG
rnacentral:rRNA from 1 species